rnacentral:snRNA from 1 species
AUGAGAUUCAUCCUAUAC